rnacentral:rRNA from 1 species
UAGCCGUAAACAAUACUCGCUAGGUGUCGGCCACGGUGCGACCGUUGUCGGUGCCGUAGGGAAGCCGUGAAGCGAGCCACCUGGGAAGUACGGCCGCAAGGCUGAAACUUAAAGGAAUUGGCGGGGGAGCACAACAACGGGUGGAGCUUGCGGUUUAAUUGGAUUCAACGCCGGAAAUCUUACCGGGACCGACAGCAACAUGAAGGCCAAGCUGAAGACUUUGCCGGAUUAGCUGAGAGGAGGUGCAUGGCGUAGACGUCU